ACUUGAUAUCAAUUUUAUUACAGGCGGUUUGAACUUUUUGAAGAGCCAGAAGGAUUGUUUGUGCCUGCGUGUGUCACUAAUAUCCCUCCUCCCUCCAAUGCAGGAUGGGGGAAAAAAGGCUGCAGAGCUUCCUGCAAGGGGCUGUAAGUGCAAAUAAAGAGGAGCCAGAGGUUUAGUUGCUACGAAUCACUGUUUCUGAAAAGAGCCUGAUGGAUUUCCUGAUACCAAAACCAGUAGGAAUAGGAGACUGAACUCGGGCAUGGUGAUGGUCUCCUUGGCUUUAAAAAGCUUUAGUGGCUUUAAAAGGCAUUUCUAUCAGACCUGGUUUAUUUUUAUUACCUCUCAUUAAAUUUUAGAAUAAAAAAGCCCCGCUCCAUCACUGCUGCUGUGAUGUGUGACUAAAGCCCAUCUUCCCUCCACUGGGAACAGGUGAGAGAUGGGACUAAACCCCAAAGGAUUUUCUGCUCACUGAUGGCACGUGAGUUUUCUUGGGAAUUCUCUGCCAAAUGUGGUCAGUUGUCCUUGAAUGUGGCCAUGAGGGGAGUCGGACGUGCCAGCCCAGAUCUGCAAACAUGCAGUGCCAGAAGGAGAACCUUUGAAAUGUCACCUGGGAUGUGUUCCACUGACUCACAGGACCGGAGAAAUGGUUCCACUCCUCCCAUCUUUGCCAAAAGCUGUGGUGUUUGAGGAGCCAGAGCCAAGGUGCCUUCAGCACCAGGGCUCUGCACUGGAGGGCUCCCGGUCCUGACCGCGCAGGGUUCCCCUUUUCCUCCCCGCUGGGAUGAAGUGUCUAUGGAAUCUGGGGUCUGGGUGAAACUGCAGCUCUGCUGGUAUCCAGGGACGUGAGGUUCCGGGGGACUGCGUUUCUCUGUGGCUUUCCAGGUCGGCAGGAGCCGGAGGAAAUGGGGUGCCAGAGCCGUGCCCCAUCAGGCCGUGUUUGCCUCUGAGGAACAGAGAGUCCGGGCUGAGGGAGAAGAGGACGAACUCCCAGCCAUUCAGGCCUGACAGUCCCCUGCAGCGAGAGCAUACACUGGAAGAGUUCAGGGUCGAAGACAAGGCUGAGGGAAAAUCCAGGGUAUUUAUAAGGGAUGAUGAGAGGUGGGUCCAGGGUGAGAAUCCAGUGGGUAAAGGGAAAAGUGGUGUAAGGGAGGAGUAAUACAGGGCAGGGGCCGAUAAGGUAGGAUGGGUGGAACAGUGCAGUGAACAUAAACCAAUGGGGGGGGGGGGGGGGGGGGGUACAGGGAUACAAGAACUUUCCAGAGCUGGGAGGAGACAAGGGAUGACAUAACUGGGAAUAGAGGCAACCAAUGGGAAAUGAGGGUUAUAAAGCUUUACCUUAAAGCUUUACCAUAAAGAAUUUUUAAAACCUUUGACAACCUUCUUAGGAGCUAUUCUCAACUUAAACAAAUGCCCUCCAAGGUCUGGGGCCAUGGGCCAACUCCUCACCCAAAACACUGGUCUGGCUUGGCAUGUCAGCCAGUUCGAUUCCUACACUGGGCCUCUGCAUGAUAUUCGCCCAGAAGCUGCCUUUCAAGGACUGAAGUGGAACAAAAGGUAUAAAAGCAGUGUCAUUCCCAGAGGGAAAACAGUUUCAUUUCUCUUGUGUCUGCUUUUUUUUUUUUUUUUUUUUUUUUUUUUACAGUUACAUCAAAAUUCCCGGAUCCAGAACAGCUACUCUGAGUUUCGGUAGAGAUUCCAAAGCAGGAUACAGUAGGUUUCAAAGUACACCUUGGAAAGUCAAUCAUUUGUCUGCAGCAUGCAGCAGGUAGGUGUGAUGUCUGUAACUGGUCUUAGUUGAUGCAGAGGUACUUGGACAAAAAUGUUUAAUCUUUCA